UAACGCGUAGGAACCUAUCGCACAGUGGGGGAUACCGCUGGGAAACCGGCGCUAAUACCGCAUGUGGUGCGGCGAGUGAAUCGUCGGACCAAAGCACGCAAGUGCGCUGAGUGAGGGGCCUGCGUCCGAUUAGCUCGUUGGUGGGGUAAAGGCCUACCAAGGCGACGAUCGGUAGCUGGUCUGAGAGGACGGUCAGCCACACUGGGACUGAGACACGGCCCAG
rnacentral:rRNA from 1 species